GGGAACUGUAGAUGGGGUGGGGCUGCAUGGGGGAUUUAGUUAGACUGCUUUGCUGAAAUUAGGGCUGGGCCUAGAGCAGCGUGAGACUGUACACUUAGGGGGUGGGGCUGGUUCAAGUGUCAUGUUCUGGAGAGGGGGAUGGGUUCCUGAUCGUCUUAUUCUGGUGUCCUUCCCAGAGGAAAAGGGCCUCAAGGAUGCGUGACGUCUUGUGGAAGAGGGUUUGGUUUGUGUGGCAUCCCAGAGAACCUUGUCAACUGUUUAAUAAAGACUGGCGUGAAGAGCCUCACAACCGUCAGCAACAAUACAUGAAAUGGUCCCUUCAAACAGACAGCGUGGUGAAGAAGGAGCAACAGCUCCUCUUCAACCUCAGGAGGCUAAAGAAAUUUGUCUUGGCCCCUAAGACCCUCACAAACUUCUACAGAUGCACCAUUCAGAGCAUCCUGUCGGGCUGUAUCACCGCCUGGUACGACAAUUGCACCGUCCACAACCACAGGGUUCUCUAUUGUGUGGUGCAGUCAGCCCAACACAUCACCGGGGGCACACUGCCUGCCCUCCAGGACGUCUACAGCACACGGUGUCACAGGAAGAUCAAGAAGCUCAUCAAGGACCUCAGACUCCCGAGCCAUGGCCUGUUCACCCUGCUACAUCUGAAGGUGUAGACAGUACAGUUGCAUCAAAGCUGGGACCAAGAGACUGAGAAACAGCUUCUAUCUCCAGGUCAUUAGACUGUUAAACUGUUAGCACUAGCCGGCCUCCGCCCUGCCAUGAACUUAGUCACUGUUACAAGCCAGCUACCACCCGGUACUCUACCCUGCACCUUAGAGACUGAUGCCCUAUGUACUCAGAGUCAUUGAACACUGGUCACUUUAAUAAUGUUUACAUUUACCUACUUUGUAUGUAUAUACUGUAUUCUAGUCAUGGCUCAUCCUAUAUAACCUAGUUUUUUUUUCUGGAUUGUGUGUGUAUUUGUCUUAUUUUUAUUGCUGGGUGUUACUGCUCUGUUGUAGCUCAAACACAAGCAUUUCAAUGCACCUGCGAUAACAUCUGCAAAUCUGUGUACUUGACCAGUAAACUUUGAUUUGAUUUUACUUGAGUUGAAGUCCCGUGCUAGGCCGGAAUCACGGGUGGGACAUUUGGGCUGUAUUUGGAGGUGACCCAAUCUGAGCAGUGUUGCACAGCUUAACCAAACACAGCCAGGGAUCCCAUGGUCAGUUCCAGGAGAGUGGGAUGAGUAAAAUACAGAAAAAAGACAGAGUGCCAAUGAAAGGGAGGGAACGGGGACCGUGAAAGAGCAAAGGACAAUGAAGCAAAGGACAGAGAAACAGAAAUAUGCCAUUGAGACAAAGAUGCCAUUUAGACAGAAAGAUGCCACUUAGACAGAAAGAUGCCAUUGAAAGAUGGCAUUGAGACAGAAAGAUGCAAUUGAGACAGACAGAUGCCAUUGAAAGGUGCCAUUGAGAAAGAAAGAUGCCAUUGAGACAGAAAGAUGCCAUUGAAAGAUGCCACUGAGACGGAAAGAUGCCAUUGAGACAGAAAGAUGCCAUUGAGACAGAAAGAUGCCAUUGAAAGAUGUCACUGAGACGGAAAGAUGCCAUUGAAAGGUGCCAUUGAGACAGAAAGAUGCCAUGGAGACAGAAAGAUGCCAUUGAGACAGAAAGAUGCCAUGGAGACAGAAAGAUGCCAUUGAGACAGAAAGAUGCCAUUGAGACAGAAAGAUGCCAUUGAAAGAUGCCAUUGAGACAGAAAGAUGCCAUUGAAAGAUGCCAUUGAGACAGAAAGAUGCCAUUGAGGCAGAAAGAUGACAUGGAGACAGAAAGAUGCCAUUGAAAGAUGCCAUUGAGACAGAAAGAUGCCAUUGAAAGGUGCCAUUGAGACAGAAAGAUGCAAUUGAGGCAGAAAGAUGACAUGGAGACAGAAAGAUGCCAUUGAAAGAUGCCAUUGAGACAGAAAGAUGCCAUUGAAAGAUGCCAUUGAGACAGAAAGAUGCAAUUGAGGAAGAAAGAUGCCAUUGAAAGAUGCCAUUGAGACAGAAAGAUGCCACUGAGACGGAAAGGUGGAAUUGAGACAGAAAGAUGCCAUUGAAAGAUGCCAUUGAAAGAUGCCAUUGAAAGAUGCCAUUGAGACAGAAAGAUGCCAUUGAGACAGAAAGAUGCCAUUGAGACAGAAAGAUGCCGUUGAGACAGAAAGAUGCCAUUGAAAGGUGCCAUCGAGACAGAAAGAUGCCAUUGAAAGGUGCCAUUGAGACAGAAAGAUGCCAUUGAAAGGUGCCAAUGAGACAGAAAGAUGGCAUUGAGACAGAAAGAUGCCAUUGAGACAGAAAGAUGCCAUUGAGACAGAAAGAUGCCAUUGAAAGAUGGCAUUGAGACAGAAAGAUGACAUGGAGACAGAAAGAUGCCAUUGAAAGAUGCCAUUGAGACAGAAAGAUGCCAUUGAGACAGAAAGAUGCCAUUGAGGCAGAAAGAUGCCAUUGAGACAGAAAGAUGCCAUUGAGACAGAAAGAUGCCAUUGAAAGGUGCCAUUGAGACAGAAAGAUGGCAUUGAGACAGAACGAUGCCAUUGAGACAGAAAGAUGUCAUUGAAAGGUGCCAUUGAGAUGACAUGGAGACAGAAAGAUGCCAUUGAAAGAUGCCACUGAGACGGAAAGAUGCCAUUGAAAGGUGCCAUUGAGACAGAAAGAUGCCAUUGAAAGGUGCCAUUGAGACAGAAAGAUGCCAUUGAAAGGUGCCAAUGAGACAGAAAGAUGCCAUUGAGACAGAAAGAUGACAUGGAGACAGAAAGAUGCCAUUGAAGAUGCCACUGAGACAGAAAGGUGCCAUUGAAAGGUGCCAUUGAGACAGAAAGAUGCCAUUGAAAGGUGCCAUUGAGACAGUAAGAUGCCAUUGAGACAGAAAGAUGCCACUGAGACAGAAAGAUGCAAUUGAGACAGAAAUAUGCCAUUGAGACAGAAAGAUGCCAUUGAGACAGAAAGAUGCCAUUGAAAGAUGCCACUGAGAUGGAAAGAUGCCAUUGAAAGUUGCCAUUGAGACAGAAAGAUGCCAUUGAGACAGAAAGAUGCCAUUGAGAUAGAAAGAUGCCAUUGAGACAGAAAGAUGCCACUGAAAGGUGCCAUUGAGACAGAAAGAUGCCAUUGAAAGGUGCCAUUGAGACAGAAAGAUGCCAUUGAGACAGAAAGAUGACAUGGAGACAGAAAGAUGCCAUUGAAAGAUGCCACUGAGACAGAAAGAUGCCAUUGAAAGGUGCCAUUGAGACAGAAAGAUGCCAUUGAAAGAUGCCAUUGAGACAGAAAGAUGCAAUUGAGGAAG
ensembl:lncRNA